rnacentral:rRNA from 1 species
UACAGAGGUCCCGAGCGUUGUUCGGAUUCAUUGGGCGUAAAGGGUGCGUAGGCGGCGGGGCAAGUCUGAUGUGAAAUCCCGGGGCUCAACCCCGGAACUGCAUUGGAUACUGCCUUGCUAGAGUACUGGAGAGGGAACUGGAAUUUACGGUGUAGCAGUGAAAUGCGUAGAUAUGCGGAGGAACACCGAUGGCGAAGGCAAUCCCCUGGGCCUGCACUGACGCUCAUGCACGAAAGCGUGGGGAGCAAACAGG